CGGGACAGGACCUCGCCUGCCCUGGCCUCCCUGCUGUCCCCGAGUGGCCACCCAGGGCCUGGGCCCCUGCAGGAUGCACUCGGUGACAGCCUGAGCAAGGUGUGGGGCCAGUGCUGGUCAGGAGCGGGUGAAGCUGAGGCACUGUGCCUGGACUUGCACAGCCAAGGAGGGAAGGGGGCCCGCUCGGCCUUAAUGACCACACGCCCCAUAAUGACACGGAAGGAGGACUCUGCUCAGCCCACCUGGGAGAAAUGGCUUCACCUUUUGCCUCUGCACUCCACAGCACUGCCCCUGGUCUGGAGGAAAAACUGCACCCUGGAAGGAUCUCUUGCCACCAUUGGCCCUGGCUUGGGUCACACUGACCCCAAGGGCCAUGGCUGAGCAGCUGAAGAGCAUGGAGCAGCCUGCACACUUGGCCACUGGCUCCCCACUGACGCGGGAGAGAAGUGAAUAACAGUCUCAGCCAUCAUGUGCGUUUGCUAAAAAUAAACCUGACAUACUUUUGUGUUGGGAAACAAUGUGGAUUCCAAACAUUCUCAAAGGGCAGAGAGGGGAAAAAAGGAAGACUGGAAAUCAAGUUUUUGAGCUUAGUAAUUAAUUAGGGCCUGUAAACAAAUGAUUCAUGUUCUUUCUUAGCUAUUUUUCUUUUCAUUUUGUGUAGAUUUUUGCAGGGACUGAAGGAAGGAGGCCAGGAGAGUGAAGUUGAUAGCUGCAGGGGCCUGGAUGGGACAGGACUGUUUUG
rnacentral:lncRNA from 1 species